rnacentral:tRNA from 1 species
GCCGGGGUGGCUUAGUUGGUUAAGCACUUGACUUCAGCUCAGGCCAUAAUCUCAUAGUUUGUGAGUUCAAACCCCACAUCAGGCU